rnacentral:rRNA from 1 species
UACGUAGGGAGCAAGCGUUGUCCGGAAUCAUUGGGCGUAAAGCGCGCGUAGGUGGCUUCGUAAGUCCGUUGUGAAAGUCAAAGGCUCAACCUUUGAAAGCCGAUGGAUACUGCGGAGCUAGAGUACGGAAGAGGCGAGUGGAAUUCCUGGUGUAGCGGUGGAAUGCGCAGAUAUCAGGAGGAACACCAAUAGCGAAGGCAGCUCGCUGGGCCGGUACUGACGCUGAGGAGCGAAAGCAUGGGGAGCGAACAGG